AGAAAAAUGCUUUUUUCAAGGUGAAACUUUGAGCCACGAGAUGCAGUUUUGUGUCUCUCACACAUGCUUUAAUAAAUGGCUUGUGAUAUUCUUAUCAUUACUAUUCAUGCCGUUGGUGAAGGAUGCAAGGAAAAGAGGUUUCCGACAACAAUCCUUGCUGGAUUUCGUCUUAUUCUUGGUUCAGAUGGCAAACAGUUCCCAUUGGUUUGGGAUGCAACAAAUAUAUGAUCGAGCAGUAUGCAAAUGGAAUGUGCAAGCACUCUAUUCUAUCAACUCAUGAUUGCUGGAGCGAACUCUGGUUGUAACUUGUGAUUUGUCUGUAUUCCAUGUUCUGACAAAAUUAUUAGUUUUGGUUUUUGCUGAUAUCCUGCAUGGAUCUUGGCCUGAGUAAGAUAGGAGUAACAUCCUUGGGCUUAAAAUCAUGGGAUUUUAUUAUAAAGGCAACAUAUUUUACUAAUAAAAGUUUUCUCUUCUGUAUUGCAUGGACUUGCUUCAUCUGUAGAACAUGCCUUUGGUAUUUUGUCAACCCUUUCUUCAUUGGUGAUCUUCACAUGUAUAUGCAAUGACUGCUUGCUGAGCAUGCAUGCCCUAAAUCCUGGUCAACUAAACUU